UACGUAGAAGACUAGUGUUAUUCAUCUUUAAUAGGUUUAAAGGGUACCUAGACGGUAUAAUUAGUCUUAAACAGGAUACGAUUAUACUAGAGUUAUAUAUGAGGAGGUGAGUAUUUAUGCAGUAGAGUUGAAAUUCGUUGAUAGCAUAACGACUGGUAACGGCGAAAAGCAACCUUUUAUCUAAUAACUGACGUUGAGGGACGAAAGG
rnacentral:rRNA from 1 species